rnacentral:rRNA from 1 species
AAACCUUCGCAAUGCGCAAAUGCGUGACGAGGGGAACUCGAGUGCUAUCAUCCUUUAGGGUGGUAGCUUUUCUCGAUCCUAAAAAGAUCGGGGAAUAAGGGCUGGGUAAGACGGGUGCCAGCCGCCGCGGUAAUACCCGCAGCUCAAGUGGUGGCCACUAUUAUUGAGCCUAAAACGUCCGUAGCCGGUUUUGUAAAUCUCUGGGUAAAUCCUGCCGCUCAACGGUAGGAAUUCUGGAGAGACUGCAAAACUAGGGAUCGGGUGAGGCGAGAGGUACUCCUGGGGUAGGGGUAAAAUCCUGUAAUCCUGGGGGGACGACCGGUGGCGAAAGCGUCUCGCUAGAACGACUCCGACGGUGAGGGACGAAGGCUAGGGGAGCAA